rnacentral:lncRNA from 1 species
AAAAGAUAAACCAGACAAACAGCGGUGAACUUUCCCUAGGACUGGAGGUCUGGAAGAUGAAUAUUUCUCUCCUAUACAGGGAAGGUCACAUUUCUCCUUUCAGUCUAUGGAGCCCCAGGCACCAGGGAAGCCAACUCCAUGCUUGGGGUCUGGAUAGUGUCAAUUCAAGAUGAACAUAAAAGUCCUCAGUCAUUAUCCGGGAGGUGCAAACAACAUUACCUCCUGCUUCGUUUAGAAGAGCAAGACCAUGUCAUGGAGUUCCCUCACCCUCUCAACUUCCUUCUUCUCUACCUCAUGGUAUUACUGCAUCUUUAACUCGCCUUUCCUCCUUUUCUGUCACAGAGGUAGUAGAUCUUCUCUCUUAAAAUAAAAAUUCUUUCACUUGAGUGUAAAUUCUGUC